rnacentral:rRNA from 2 species
AACGGCGAGUGAAGCGGCAAGAGCUCAAAUUUGAAAUCUGGCCUCCCCCGGGGGCCCGAGUUGUAAUUUGCAGAGGAUGCUUCGGGUGCGGCCGCCGUCUAAGUUCCUUGGAACAGGACGUCAGAGAGGGUGAGAAUCCCGUCUUGGGCGGGCGGUCCGCGCCCGUGUGAAGCUCCUUCGACGAGUCGAGUUGUUUGGGAAUGCAGCUCUAAGCGGGUGGUAAAUUUCAUCUAAAGCUAAAUAUUGGCCGGAGACCGAUAGCGCACAAGUAGAGUGAUCGAAAGGUUAAAAGCACCUUGAAAAGGGAGUUAAACAGCACGUGAAAUUGUUGAAAGGGAAGCGCUUGCGGCCAGACUCGGGGGCGGGGUUCAGCGGGUGCUCGUCGCCCGUGUAUUCCUCGUCUCCCGGGCCAGCAUCAGUUUCGACGGCCGGUCAAAGGCCCCCGGAAUGUGUCGUCUCUCGGGACGUCUUAUAGCCGGGGGUGCAAUGCGGCCCGUCGGGACUGAGGAACGCGCUCCGGCUCGGAUGCUGGCGUAAUGGCCGUAAGCGGCCCGUCUUGAAACACGGACCAAGGAGUCUAACAUCCACGCGAGUGUUCGGGUGUCAAACCCGUGCGCGCAGUGAAAGCGAACGGAGGUGGGAGCCUUAGGGCGCACCAUCGACCGAUCCUGAAGUCUUCGGAUGGAUUUGAGUAGGAGCGUGGCCGUUGGGACCCGAAAGAUGGUGAACUAUGCCUGAAUAGGGUGAAGCCAGAGGAAACUCUGGUGGAGGCUCGCAGCGGUUCUGACGUGCAAAUCGAUCGUCAAAUUU